GUGACUGGGGGGGAUUUUAGUGAGUCAAGGGCACUUUUGGAAAGUGGGGACAUUUUGGAAAAGUAGAAAAACAUUUUAGAAACUCAGGGUAGUUCUCGAAAGUGAGGACAUUUAAGGAAACUACAUUUUUAGUACAAUUGUAAGUACAGACCUUAUUGUAGGAUCUUUUGAUAAAUUAAGACAUUUUCCGAAAGUGGAGGCUUUUUUUAAAUGAUGCAUUUUUUUGAGGACUUUCUGAAACGUGAAUUAGUUUUUUAAUAAUGCCGACAUUUUCAGAAAGUGAGAGUAAUUUUGGAAACAGUGCUGGAUUGGAAAGCAGAAACAUGUUCCUGACAAUGAGGACAUUUUUGGCGACCAGAGCCACCGAGGAACUCAUUCAGCCUUUACCUGCCACGACAUUGGAGGACCCGGGAGUGUGAGAGAGCAGCCUCUCUCUAAGCCGGGUAGAGUGGUCUUCUUGAUCCUGUGGAAGCUGUUUGAAGAGUUUCAGUCCCUCUGCCUGCUCUGACUGACAGCCGUGCUCCGCUGGCCAGUUGCUGGCCUGAAUCCCCCGGCUUUGGGCCUCUGCAGCCGGCUCUCAUCCAGGCCUGAUCCCACAGAGGAAAGCCUCACUGCCGUCAGGACGGAUUUGACAGUCCUUGCUCAUCCUAGGGAUGUCCAAAGUGCUUUCACAGUGGGUGAAUGAACCCCUCCCACCGUUGCUCCCCACGGCCCGAACCAACUGUAGUGUGAUAGGCAAGUGUGCGUAUUGUAUUUGUUUUAUUUGUUAGAAAGAUAUCUAAAAUGUACCUUAUGCAUGUCAGUGAAAUUUAGUGAAGUUAGCCUAGGAUGAAUUGUGCGUUGUUUGAUUGAUAACACCACCUUAUAAAGCACAUCAAGCCCUUUGUCAAAAGUUGAAAUGUUUCAGUCCAGUUGGAAGCCACACAUUAAAAAAUGCUGGGUUAAAUGUGACCCCAGUGUGGUGAAUAUCAAACACAGACACGAUACUGGGUUCAUUUUACCCAGUAUCAGCCAACAGAAAGGUUGUUUUGAUCCUGUAACCCAACAGUAAUGUAAAACUAACACCAACACUGGGUCAAAAAACCCAAUUGGUACUGGGUCAGAUUAAUCCAGUAUUACGUCUCACGCUAUAUUGACUCCAAUGUGUUUUGGUUUAUUUCUGGAAACUUAAAAUUACAGUGUGUUUUACAAUAAUCAGGGGAAAUGAUUGGUUAUUUGGGCAGUGGCUAAAUUAUCUGACUAUAUAUUGCUGAAGGUAAGUGAGAAAAUAUGUUCUUUUGUCAUUUGGGUGCACCGACCCUUUGAAGGCAACGGACAAGAUUCUUUGUUGGUGCAACUUUUCACCACUGGAUCAUUAUCUAGUGAACACGUGUGUCAGGAGACAGACAGGACAUUGACUGGGUCAGGAAAUGGCUAGAGAGUGUAGACAUAGGAGUGGGAGCUGAGCUUCAUUGAUAAACCUACUUCAGUCCCAGACAAGGAAGGAAGCAGCGCAGGCUGCAGGAAUGGGAGGGAGACGCUAUAGAUCCAGUAUUGGGACAGGAGUCCAGCCACUGCCAGCCAUUGAUCAGGAUCACAAUCAAUCAGGAAACCAUUGAGCAGCUUGGUCCAAAAAUAGAGUGAAAAAGCACCUGAGAGCGAGCAGUGAACAGGGUCAGCUCGGAGUCACAGUUGACCGCCUGAAGACAUCGUGUCCCCUCUCACUCUGAUCGCCUGAGGCAGCAAGUGGAUCAGAGCACUGCUGUAAACCUCAGAGAUGUGUUUCAUAAUGGAGCGUACAGGUUUAUGCUACUUGACCCCUGACCCUCAAAUGUUAUUGACAUGUUUCCUUGUUCAUGGGUCAAAUCCUCCUCCCUGGAGCCAGAGAUCUUUUAGCUUAAUGCACCAGGCUGAACCAGCUGCAGUCAGAAAACCUGUUCUUAUGUUUGUUUGUAACAUUUUAGGGAGAGGGUGUGGAACAGUGAGCACUGUUCAACGACUUGU